GACGAACGUUGGCGGCGUGCUUAACACAUGCAAGUCGAACGGAAAGGCCCUGCUUUUGUGGGGUGCUCGAGUGGCGAACGGGUGAGUAACACGUGAGUAACCUGCCCUUGACUUUGGGAUAACUUCAGGAAACUGGGGCUAAUACCGGAUAGGAGCUCCUGCUGCAUGGUGGGGGUUGGAAAGUUUCGGCGGUUGGGGAUGGACUCGCGGCUUAUCAGCUUGUUGGUGGGGUAGUGGCUUACCAAGGCUUUGACGGGUAGCCGGCCUGAGAGGGUGACCGGCCACAUUGGGACUGAGAUACGGCCCAGACUCCUACGGGAGGCAGCAGUGGGGAAUAUUGCACAAUGGGCGGAAGCCUGAUGCAGCAACGCCGCGUGCGGGAUGACGGCCUUCGGGUUGUAAACCGCUUUCGCCUGUGACGAAGCGUGAGUGACGGUAAUGGGUAAAGAAGCACCGGCUAACUACGUGCCAGCAGCCGCGGUGAUACGUAGGGUGCGAGCGUUGUCCGGAUUUAUUGGGCGUAAAGGGCUCGUAGGUGGUUGAUCGCGUCGGAAGUGUAAUCUUGGGGCUUAACCCUGAGCGUGCUUUCGAUACGGGUUGACUUGAGGAAGGUAGGGGAGAAUGGAAUUCCUGGUGGAGCGGUGGAAUGCGCAGAUAUCAGGAGGAACACCAGUGGCGAAGGCGGUUCUCUGGGCCUUUCCUGACGCUGAGGAGCGAAAGCGUGGGGAGCGAACAGGCUUAGAUACCCUGGUAGUCCACGCUGUAAACGGUGGGUACUAGGUGUGGGGUCCAUUCCACGGGUUCCGUGCCGUAGCUAACGCUUUAAGUACCCCGCCUGGGGAGUACGGCCGCAAGGCUAAAACUCAAAGGAAUUGACGGGGCCCCGCACAAGCGGCGGAGCAUGCGGAUUAAUUCGAUGCAACGCGUAGAACCUUACCUGGGUUUGAUAUGGAUCGGGAGUGCUCAGAGAUGGGUGUGCCUCUUUUGGGGUCGGUUCACAGGUGGUGCAUGGCUGUCGUCAGCUCGUGUCGUGAGAUGUUGGGUUAAGUCCCGCAACGAGCGCAACCCUUGUUCACUGUUGCCAGCACGUUAUGGUGGGGACUCAGUGGAGACCGCCGGGGUCAACUCGGAGGAAGGUGGGGAUGACGUCAAGUCAUCAUGCCCCUUAUGUCCAGGGCUUCACGCAUGCUACAAUGGCUGGUACAGAGAGUGGCGAGCCUGUGAGGGUGAGCGAAUCUCGGAAAGCCGGUCUCAGUUCGGAUUGGGGUCUGCAACUCGACCUCAUGAAGUCGGAGUCGCUAGUAAUCGCAGAUCAGCAACGCUGCGGUGAAUACGUUCCCGGGGCU
rnacentral:rRNA from 1 species